CUACAGGCUUAACACAUGCAAGUCGAGGGGCAGCAUUUUAUUUUGCUUGCAAACUGAAGAUGGCGACCGGCGCACGGGUGAGUAACACGUAUCCAACCUGCCGAUAACUCCGGAAUAGCCUUUCGAAAGAAAGAUUAAUACCGGAUAGUAUACGAAUAUCGCAUGAUAUUUUUAUUAAAGAAUUUCGGUUAUCGAUGGGGAUGCGUUCCAUUAGUUUGUUGGCGGGGUAACGGCCCACCAAGACUACGAUGGAUAGGGGUUCUGAGAGGAAGGUCCCCCACAUUGGAACUGAGACACGGUCCAAACUCCUACGGGAGGCAGCAGUGAGGAAUAUUGGUCAAUGGGCGAGAGCCUGAACCAGCCAAGUAGCGUGAAGGAUGAAGGCUCUAUGGGUCGUAAACUUCUUUUAUAUGGGAAUAAAGUUUUCCACGUGUGGAAUUUUGUAUGUACCAUAUGAAUAAGGAUCGGCUAACUCCGUGCCAGCAGCCGCGGCAAUACGGAGGAUCCGAGCGUUAUCCGGAUUUAUUGGGUUUAAAGGGAGCGUAGGUGGAUUGUUAAGUCAGUUGUGAAAGUUUGCGGCUCAACCGUAAAAUUGCAGUUGAAACUGGGAGUCUUGAGUACAGUAGAGGUGGGCGGAAUUCGUGGUGUAGCGGUGAAAUGCUUAGAUAUCACGGAGAACUCCGAUUGCGAAGGCAGCUCACUAGACUGUCACUGACACUGAUGCUCGAAAGUGUGGGUAUCAAACAGGAUUAGAUACCCUGGUAGUCCACACAGUAAACGAUGAAUACUCGCUGUUUGCGAUAUACAGUAAGCGGCCAAGCGAAAGCAUUAAGUAUUCCACCUGGGGAGUACGCCGGCAACGGUGAAACUCAAAGGAAUUGACGGGGGCCCGCACAAGCGGAGGAACAUGUGGUUUAAUUCGAUGAUACGCGAGGAACCUUACCCGGGCUUAAAUUGCAACAGAAUAUAUUGGAAACAGUAUAGCCGUAAGGCUGUUGUGAAGGUGCUGCAUGGUUGUCGUCAGCUCGUGCCGUGAGGUGUCGGCUUAAGUGCCAUAACGAGCGCAACCCUUAUCUUUAGUUACUAACAGGUCAUGCUGAGGACUCUAGAGAGACUGCCGUCGUAAGAUGUGAGGAAGGUGGGGAUGACGUCAAAUCAGCACGGCCCUUACGUCCGGGGCUACACACGUGUUACAAUGGGGGGUACAGAAGGCGGCUACCUGGUGACAGGAUGCUAAUCCCAAAAACCUCUCUCAGUUCGGAUCGAAGUCUGCAACCCGACUUCGUGAAGCUGGAUUCGCUAGUAAUCGCGCAUCAGCCAUGGCGCGGUGAAUACGUUCCCGGGCCUUGUACACACCGCCCGUCAAGCCAUGAAAGCCGGGGGUACCUGAAGUACGUAACCACAAGGAGCGUCCUAGGGUAAAACUGGUAAUUG
rnacentral:rRNA from 1 species